rnacentral:lncRNA from 7 species
AACAAGAUGGAAACACAUUCAGUAACCUUAAGGUACGUUCGUUCUUUACACAGCUACGCUGAUAUAAAUUCUAUAGAUUAAAUAGAUAUGAUCUAUUUAACACCUAUUUAAAUAUGAUGUGGCAUGCUAUAACAAUUGAGUAGAUCAUUUGCUCCCUUCUAUCUUCCAUUUAUCUUCCCACUAUAACUUUUGAAAAUUAUGUGCAUAGUAACUACAGUUGUCAGCAACAAACUUUACUUACAGCCUCUCAAGAUGGAAUAAACCACCUUCUCUGAACACUUCUGAAUGGGAAGAUUUCCUGCAGAAUCCUCUUGCACAGCCUGGAAUUGCACUUCAUUGCAGGUGGUGACAGUGAAUGAUAACCAGAGAGAAAGAAGUCAGCAUCUAGAAUUUAAAUGAAAAGUCUGUAUAUCUUGACCUCCUGCAAAAACUAGCAUUGAUCUUGCCUGUGUUCAUGAAUAAAUUGCAAAGUUCACAAAGUUCUGCAAGGAAAAUUGAAACGUGCCAGACCAAAAUACUGCACUCAUGCCCCAGACAUUGCUCCUUCCCUCUGCUCCUAUUCUCACCAAGGAAAGACAGAAGGUGACAGAAGGGAGGUGGACAUCAGAAGCAGCUGUACAUAAAGAUUUCUUAUCACAAGUGCUUAAUAGUCAUUUAAAAAACUUAACUAGAAACAAGCAAACAAAUAAAGCUGUAGAUAAGGUAGAAAACUGUUUUCAUAUCAAGCAGGACAUUAAUGCCCAUUCUAUUGUCCUAGCUGUAGGAAGCCUUACUGUGCUUUACAUAGUGAGCUUCAGUUCUAUGACUGUCAGUUCUGUACUGUGCCUCUUGCUUAAAUCAAGCUGUAAACCUUGGCAAGAAACAAUACAGUAAAUACUCUGAUAUGCAAAAGCACAUUGCUUGGUUGUACACAAAUAGUGCAGUGCCUCUCUCACUGCUUUCAUUCAUCAGGGAUUGCCUUCUGGGGCCUUCAGUCACUGUGAAGACUCACAUACAGACUCAGGCCUUACAGGUAUUAAUACACAGAACAAGUAGAAGAGGCUCAGUAUUUCUGAGUAAACCCUUACCAGGUGGAUGAGUCAGCAAAGAAAAACCAACAAUUCAAAAACCAAGUUGUUUGAAUGACCUUCAAGUACAACAGAGAAACCUCCAGUGAAUAGCUACAAGAGCUAUGCUAAGCUUCAGGCUGCUAAAGUAUCACUGGGCUAUGAGGAUAAACUGUUUCCAUCACAAAAGGCAGAUUAUGUCUCAGAUUUUCUGCUGCAUUUUCUGCCUGUCUUGGGAGCCUUUAUUUUAUUAUCAGAAGUAGAUUAUCCUAUAAAGCUAUCUGCAGGAGAGAGACAAAGAAAAAUCCCUCUGUCUUGCUGUUUAGACUUAAUAUGAAAACUAGGCACGUAAGUCCCUCGUAAUUAAAAGUCACUGGUUAUACACAAUAAGACAGUUCUUUCAGGACUCUUUUAAGUAAAUUAAUUUUGUACAACAUCUUUUUGAUUGUUCUGAAACAGCAACAAUUACUUCUUUUAGCACUUCCUAGUUUGCAUAUGAAUAAAAACACUAAGAUGAUUACAACUGUCUAUUAUACCAUACACUGUUGAGUGAUUUGUACUAUUUUGCAUAGCUGAUUCUCCUCAGAGCUCAAAUGUGUGUCACUGCAUGGGCACUCUAGGGCCAGACCCUUUCCUCCUUCUCAGGGGAUCUUGGGCCUUGACCAUGACAAGAAGAAAACACAGGUACUGAGGAAACACAGCACUGCAGUCCUGCACCAUGUACUCUUUCCAUCCCAAUAAGAAGGAGGGGAGCAGCCCUCCUAAUUCCCAGACUCCCAGCUCCAAGGCCCACACAGGCUGUGCUGAAGCUUAUCGAAGAGACAAUUUGGUACUCACAUUCUCUUCUUUCUGCAACUAGUAGGAAGCUAGUGUGAAUUCUGGAACCAACAACUAUGUCUUGGGCACCCAAUGUAACAAGUGACUGCAGACUGUGGGAUCUGCACUUUCUUGCGGUAGGUUUUGGAAACCCUACCAUUCUCUGGUAAAGAGGUGCUGACCUCACACAUUUUGAAAGGUAUUGGAUUUCUCCACAAGAGAAAGAUUUCUGCUACACUUAAUCUCUGCUUACAAUGAGAUAACUAAACAGAAAAACCUAUUUUGCUGAGUAGGUUUCUCUGUACUGCACCUGCUAUGUUGAUCCAAAUGACUAUAUGAGGAACUCGUGAUUUAUGUAUAGCAAAAACAUGAAAGAGCAUU